rnacentral:rRNA from 1 species
GAUGAACGCUGGCGGCGUGCCUAAUACAUGCAAGUCGAGCGAACAGACGAGAAGCUUGCUCCUCUGAUGUUAGCGGCGGACGGGUGAGUAACACGUGGAUAACCUACCUAUAAGACUGGGAUAACUUCGGGAAACCGGAGCUAAUACCGGAUAAUAUUUUGAACCGCAUGGUUCAAUAGUGAAAGACGGUCUUGCUGUCACUUAUAGAUGGAUCCGCGCUGCAUUAGCUAGUUGGUAAGGUAACGGCUUACCAAGGCAACGAUGCAUAGCCGACCUGAGAGGGUGAUCGGCCACACUGGAACUGAGACACGGUCCAGACUCCUACGGGAGGCAGCAGUAGGGAAUCUUCCGCAAUGGGCGAAAGCCUGACGGAGCAACGCCGCGUGAGUGAUGAAGGUCUUCGGAUCGUAAAACUCUGUUAUUAGGGAAGAACAUAUGUGUAAGUAACUGUGCACAUCUUGACGGUACCUAAUCAGAAAGCCACGGCUAACUACGUG